GCGUUGUCCGGAUUUAUUGGGCGUAAAGAGCUCGUAGGCGGUUCGGUAAGUCGGGUGUGAAAACUCUGGGCUCAACCCGGAGAGGCCACUCGAUACUGCUGUGACUUGAGUCUGGUAGGGGAGCACGGAAUUCCUGGUGUAGCGGUGAAAUGCACAGAUAUCAGGAGGAACACCGGUGGCGAAGGCGGUGCUCUGGGCCAGUACUGACGCUGAGGAGCGAAAGCGU
rnacentral:rRNA from 1 species